CGCCCCGGAGCCCACGCAGGCGCUGGCCUGCUGGCUGCCGAGACGUGGCACCGGCUCGCGGUCGCAUCCGCUUGAGGUUCCUGGAGCCGCCCUGACUAGCAGCGGGAGCUGUUUUGGAAGGUGCAAUAUGCACCAGUUGCAAGGAAGAAACUUUGAAGAUCAAUAUUUUCCCAGCCCAACCUUGAACGACCUCACCAACCCACUGCAACAAAGAGCCUUUGUUACCAUGUGCCAGUCAAGGUGCUGAUACAGAAGAACUUUGGCUGACCCCUAUCUAUACGAAGCUUUGCCGUAGCUGGACCUUUGGGGAUGGGGCUGGAGGAAAAGAUAAAUGAUCUAUGAAGGAAAGGGGACAUCUCAGUAUACACCUGAGGAAAUGGAUGUUUCUCUCCUGAACAAAAGUUCUUAACCAACUAAACUAAUUUUUAAAAGUCA